rnacentral:rRNA from 1 species
GAAAAGCACCCCGGGAGGGGAGUGAAAUAGAACCUGAAACCGUGUGCCUACAACAAGUUCGAGCCCGUUAAUGGGUGAGAGCGUGCCUUUUGUAGAAUGAACCGGCGAGUUACGAUAUGAUGCGAGGUUAAGUUGAAGAGACGGAGCCGUAGGGAAACCGAGUCUUAAUAGGGCGCAUUAGUAUCAUGUCGUAGACCCGAAACCAUGUGACCUACCCAUGAGCAGGUUGAAGGUGAGGUAAAACUCACUGGAGGACCGAACCAGGGCACGUUGAAAAGUGCUUGGAUGACUUGUGGGUAGCGGAGAAAUUCCAAACGAACUUGGAGAUAGCUGGUUCUCUCCGAAAUAGCUUUAGGGCUAGCGUCGAUGUUAAGUCUCUUGGAGGUAGAGCACUGUUUGGGUGAGGGGUCCAUCCCGGAUUACCAAUCUCAGAUAAACUCCGAAUGCCAACGAGAUAUAAUCGGCAGUCAGACUGCGAGUGCUAAGAUCCGUAGUCGAAAGGGAAACAGCCCAGACCACCAGCUAAGGUCCCAAAAUAUAUGUUAAGUGGAAAAGGAUGUGGGGUUGCACAGACAACUAGGAUGUUAGCUUAGAAGCAGCUAUUCAUUCAAAGAGUGCGUAAUAGCUCACUAGUCGAGUGACCCUGCGCCGAAAAUGUACCGGGGCUAAAACAUAUUACCGAAGCUGUGGAUGACACAAAAGUGUCAUGGUAGGAGAGCGUUCUAUGUGUGAAGAAGGUGUACCGUGAGGAGCGCUGGAACGCAUAGAAGUGAGAAUGCCGGUAUGAGUAGCGCAAGACAGGUGAGAAUCCUGUCCACCGUAAGACUAAGGUUUCCAGGGGAAGGCUCGUCCGCCCUGGGUUAGUCGGGACCUAAGGAGAGACCGAAAGGUGUAUCCGAUGGACAACAGGUUGAUAUUCCUGUACUAGAGUAUAUAGUGAUGGAGGGACGCAGUAGGCUAACUAAACCAGACGAUUGGAAGUGUCUGGCCAAGCAGUGAGGUGUGAUAUGAGUCAAAUGCUUAUAUCUAUAACAUUGAGCUGUGAUGGGGAGCGAAGUUUAGUAGCGAAGUUAGUGAUGUCACACUGCCGAGAAAAGCUUCUAGCGUUAAUUAUACUCUACCCGUACCGCAAACCGACACAGGUAGUCGAGGCGAGUAGCCUCAGGUGAGCGAGAGAACUCUCGUUAAGGAACUCGGCAAAAUGGCCCCGUAACUUCGGGAGAAGGGGCGCUGACUUAUGGUCAGCCGCAGUGAAUAGGCCCAAGCAACUGUUUAUCAAAAACACAGCUCUCUGCUAAAUCGUAAGAUGAUGUAUAGGGGGUGACGCCUGCCCGGUGCUGGAAGGUUAAGAGGAGUGCUUAGCGUAAGCGAAGGUAUGAAUUGAAGCCCCAGUAAACGGCGGCCGUAACUAUAACGGUCCUAAGGUAGCGAAAUUCCUUGUCGGGUAAGUUCCGACCCGCACGAAAGGCGUAAUGAUUUGGGCACUGUCUCAACGAGAGACUCGGUGAAAUUUUAGUACCUGUGAAGAUGCAGGUUACCCGCGACAGGACGGAAAGACCCCAUGGAGCUUUACUGCAGUUUGAUAUUGAGUGUCUGUGCCACAUGUACAGGAUAGGUAGGAGCCAUAGAGAUCGGGACGCCAGUUUCGAUGGAGGCGUUGUUGGGAUACUACCCUUGUGUUAUGGCCACUCUAACCCGGAUAGGUGAUCCCUAUCGGAGACAGUGUCUGACGGGCAGUUUGACUGGGGCGGUCGCCUCCUAAAAGGUAACGGAGGCGCCCAAAGGUUCCCUCAGAAUGGUUGGAAAUCAUUCGCAGAGUGUAAAGGUAUAAGGGAGCUUGACUGCGAGAGCUACAACUCGAGCAGGGACGAAAGUCGGGCUUAGUGAUCCGGUGGUUCCGUAUGGAAGGGCCAUCGCUCAACGGAUAAAAGCUACCCUGGGGAUAACAGGCUUAUCUCCCCCAAGAGUUCACAUCGACGGGGAGGUUUGGCACCUCGAUGUCGGCUCGUCGCAUCCUGGGGCUGUAGUCGGUCCCAAGGGUUGGGCUGUUCGCCCAUUAAAGCGGCACGCGAGCUGGGUUCAGAACGUCGUGAGACAGUUCGGUCCCUAUCCGUCGCGGGCGUAGGAAAUUUGAGAGGAUCUGCUCCUAGUACGAGAGGACCAGAGUGGACUUACCGCUGGUGUACCAGUUGUUCUGCCAAGAGCAUCGCUGGGUAGCUAUGUAGGGAAGGGAUAAACGCUGAAAGCAUCUAAGUGUGAAGCCCACCUCAAGAUGAGAUUUCCCAUGAUUUUAUAUCAGUAAGAGCCCUGAGAGAUGAUCAGGUUGAUAGGUUAGAAGUGGAAGUGUGGUGACACAUGUAGCGGACUAAUACUAAUAGCUCGAGGACUUAUCCAA